rnacentral:rRNA from 1 species
CCUACGGGAUGCAGCAGUGAGGAAUAUUGGUCAAUGGGCGCGAGCCUGAACCAGCCAAGUAGCGUGAAGGAUGACUGCCCUACGGGUUGUAAACUUCUUUUAUAAAGGAAUAAAGUGAGGCACGUGUGCCUUUUUGUAAUUACUUUAUGAAUAAGGAUCGGCUAACUCCGUGCCAGCAGCCGCGGUAAUACGGAGUAUCCGAGAGUUAUCCGGAUUUAUUGGGUUUAAAGGGAGCGUAGAUGGGUUGUUAAGUCAGUUGUGAAAGUUUGCGGCUAAACCGUAAAAUUGCAAUUGAUACUGGCAGCCUUGAGUACAGUUGAGGUAGGCGGAAUUCGUGGUGUAGCGGUGAAAUGCUUAGAUAUCACGAAGAACUCCGAUUGCGAAGGCAGCUUACUAAACUGCCACUGACAUUGAUGCUCGAAAGUGUGGGUAUCAAACAGGAUUAGAUACCCGAGUAGUC